AGGUUGUUUUGUCACCGAGCUAACAAUCCUAAACUUCUCCGGCAGGGAUGUUAGCCGAUAGGGUUUAUCUGAAAACGGAUUUGCCUUCCAAUGUGAAAAGGUGAAGAAUUGAGCUACAG
rnacentral:ncRNA from 2 species